UACGUAGGGGGGCAAGCGUUGUCCGGAUUUAUUGGGCGUAAAGAGCUCGUAGGCGGCUCGGUAAGUCGGAUGUGAAACCUCCAGGCUCAACCUGGAGACGCCAUCUGAUACUGCCGUGGCUUGAGUCCGGUAGAGGAGCAGGGGAAUUCCUGGUGUAGCGGUGAAAUGCGCAGAUAUCAGGAGGAACACCAGCGGCGAAGGCGCUGCUCUGGGCCGGUACUGACGCUGAGGAGCGAAAGCGUGGGGAGCGAACAGG
rnacentral:rRNA from 1 species